UGGGUACCUGUUGCCGGUAAUCCUGAGUUACAAAAUCGCCAGAAAUUGCAACUCAUGCGGCAAAAUUUGAAAGUAUAUUGGUUGGCAGAAAUGAUUCUGGAUUGACCAAAAGUAUUGCAUUCGGUUUUGCAUUAGAAAAAGGUGCCAUGCUAAUUUUUUUUGACUGGGCCAUGCUAGCUUGUCAGCAGUGAAUUCCAGGAAUUGAAAUGCAACAGAAAUUUAUUGUGAUAAUCUUCUUUGGAGACAAGCUGUGGUGGUAAAUGGCAAGUCGUCAGUUCGAUCGUAUUCACUGGAGCUACGUCUAUUUGGACUUUUGAUAGUGGGACUGCAAUAGGCUCGUAGGGUUCUCACCCCGGUACCCCACCCUCGCUGUUGCCGUCACCUUGGCGCCGGCCACCAUGGCACCGAUGGCCACCUCCCAUCACAGGGAGCUAUGUCUAUUUCGGUUCAGAGAAAAAGACGGAGGACACGGCGGGGUACGUGCCUAUGUCGUCGAGCUGGGCAUGGAUGGGAGCGACGAGCUCGGGCGACAGGAAGCAUGAUAGGAGGAGGAGAAGCACUGGCAACAACAGACCAGGGCGGCCUGAUGCUAUUGCUGGUGCCAUGUACGUUCCUCUCGCUGCGACACCCAUCUUUUAAGCUGGUCUUGAGCCUUAAUCCAAGUCAAGUUAAGCGGAACUCCAAAAGAAAGAGAGGUCAAAUUAAGCGCGGUUGGCUCAUGUCACUGCUCGCCGGCCGGCAAGUACGAGGUUGCCAUUUGUUGGGAUGAUGCGCCCAGAAACUGCAGGGUAAUUUCCACCAAUUAAGUAAAGUGAGAGGAGUGGUUUAAGAAUUAGUAGGAGACGUACGAGCAGCUUGUUGCCGGCCUGUAGCGUAAUUAAGCACGACAACGAAGUACAGUACGACGUACAAAGGGAAGUCAAGUCUUGUGAAUGUACUUUAUGUACUGCUGCAAGUAUGUGACAUGGUCUGGGUCUCGGCUGUUUUUGAACAGUCGUCCCAGAAGACCGUUCAGAA